rnacentral:rRNA from 1 species
AGCAGUCGCCACGGGAAAACGGAGGGUGCAAGCGUUAAUCGGAAUUACUGGGCGUAAAGCGCACGCAGGCGGUUAAACAAGUCUGAAGUGAAAUGCCGGGGCUCAACCCCGGAGCUGCUUUGGGAACUGUAGAACUGGAGUGUCGGAGGGGUAAGCGGAAUUCCCAGUGUAGCGGUGAAAUGCGUAGAUAUUGGGAGGAACACCGGCGGCGAAGGCGGCUUACUGGACGACAACUGACGUUGAGGCUCGAAGGCGUGGGUAGCAAACAGGAUUAGAUACCCGGGUAGUCCCUGUCUCUUAUAA